AUAUUGUGCUGGGUUUAAGGUGUCGGUGUGAGAUUUCACAUCGGUGAAAAGGGAAUGCGGUGCGAGUCCGCAGCAACUCCCGUUACUGUAAGCGCGACGAACCCGCCGGAUCCAUUGAGCGCAAAGCGCGUUCGAGAAGGGGCGGAAGUAGGAUGACCGUAAGCCAGGAGACCUGCCUUAAACGGAAUGGUACAU
rnacentral:ncRNA from 20 species